rnacentral:rRNA from 1 species
CCGCGUGUGUGAAGAUGCCCUGCGGGUAGUAAAGCCUUUUGUCAGGAACGAAACGGUGGGGGCUAAUACCUCCUGCUAAUGACGGUACCUGAAGAAUAAGCACCGGCUAACUACGUGCCAGCAGCCGCGGUAAUACGUAGGGUGCGAGCGUUAAUCGGAAUUACUGGGCGUAAAGCGUGCGCAGGCGGUUGUGCAAGACAGAUGUGAAAUCCCCGGGCUUAACCUGGGAAUGGCAUUUGUGACUGCACGGCUAGAGUGUGUCAGAGGGGGGUAGAAUUCCACGUGUAGCAGUGAAAUGCGUAGAUAUGUGGAGGAAUACCGAUGGCGAAGGCAGCCCCCUGGGAUAACACUGACGCUCAGGCACGAAAGCGUGGGGAGCAAACAGGAUUAGAUACCCUGGUAGUCCACGCCCUAAACGAUGUCAACUAGUUGUCGGGUCUUAAUUGACUUGGUAACGCAGCUAACGCGUGAAGUUGACCGCCUGGGGAGUACGGUCGCAAGAUUAAAACUCAAAGGAAUUGACGGGGACCCGCACAAGCGGUGGAUGAUGUGGAUUAAUUCGAUGCAACGCGAAAAACCUUAUCUAUCCUUGACAUGUCAGGAACCCCGGUGAGAGGUGGGGGUGGUCCAAACGAGAGCCUGAACACAGGUGCUGCAUGGCUGUCGACAGUCGUGUCGUGAGAUGU